rnacentral:rRNA from 1 species
GAUGAACGCUGGCGGCGUGCCUAAUACAUGCAAGUCGAGCGAACGGACGAGGAGCUUGCUCCUCUGACGUUAGCGGCGGACGGGUGAGUAACACGUGGAUAACCUACCUAUAAGACUGGGAUAACUUCGGGAAACCGGAGCUAAUACCGGAUAAUAUAUUGAACCGCAUGGUUCAAUAGUGAAAGACGGUUUUGCUGUCACUUAUAGAUGGAUCCGCGCUGCAUUAGCUAGUUGGUAAGGUAACGGCUUACCAAGGCAACGAUGCAUAGCCGACCUGAGAGGGUGAUCGGCCACACUGGAACUGAGACACGGUCCAGACUCCUACGGGAGGCAGCAGUAGGGAAUCUUCCGCAAUGGGCGAAAGCUUGACGGAGCAACGCCGCGUGAGUGAUGAAGGUCUUCGGAUCGUAAAACUCUGUUAUUAGGGAAGAACAAAUGUGUAAGUAACUGUGCACAUCUUGACGGUACCUAAUCAGAAAGCCACGGCUAACUACGUG